UAACACUUUGGGGUAUCCACCCAGUGUUAUAAACAGCUGAGUAGCAUAUUAUAUAGGUACUUUAUAGGUUAGAAAAUGGUAUGUUUGUUUUGGUAAGAUUUGGUAGUUGAAAUGUCUUCGACACGGAUGUCAUAGUGGGUCAGUCAAGAACUGAGACCUGUAGUGAUAUUUUCAACUUUACAUAUACGCUUUUAGCUAUAUUGAGUGGACAAAACUUACCGGAGCGGUAGGUCAGUCUGUGCGUUCACUCCGUUGCAUUUUGCGCAUCCAUGUCGUGUUCCUGCGUUGUGCUAGGACACAGGCACUUUGUUUUCGUUGGGGUAUAUCCAUUUCACAAUUGAAAUACAUUUUAAAACAUAUAAAUACCACGUAUUAACAGUAUGAUUUCGAUAAAACCGAGCAGUUGUUUAUUUCAGCGGUAGACACUGACGGCUGUCAAUGUCAUUUGGUUCUUUUUGUCCAUGGUUCCGUAACAGACGGUCGGUCACACUUGUUGUACGGCAAUAAACAUAUACUUGUGGUUCUUUUAUCUUUUUAUAAUUUCCAAUUAUUAAUAAAGUCCAUAUUAUUAGCUUCCCAAAAUGAGUAACUCUUUUUAUUGUUGAUGUUUCGAAUUAUUCCGAGAGUCAAACCGGUCAGUCGUGGUAUCCAUUGAAUGGGAAGUUUUUCAUUCAUCAGUUUGUCUGUGGUUUCUCGGAUUGGAAUUUUGAUAAAUCAUUGUUCGAUCGAUCUUCAGGAUGUGAAGGAUCUUAGAAAAUCUUUGGGCAAUCAAUCUUAGGGCUCGUCCCAAAAUGUGCAUAAUUUAGCGUCUUAGAGCCUACCUAAAAUGGCGGCUGCUAAUCUUUUCUCUUCAAUUUAACAUAACUUGGUGAGUUUCCACACUUUUUAAAUAUAUAAAGAAGGAAAGGCGGAGGUAGUGUGUCCUUUCGCAAAUGGGUUAAUAUAGUGUUUUAUGUGGAUUUUCCAGCAAAACCUAAUGUAACGUCAACCACCUCUUCGUCUUGCCACGCGGUCUGCAGGCGCCGUCGUUGGUAUAGGAAAUAAUGGACCCGGCAUAAACCCCGGUAAGUCAUUUAACCGCUUCAUUGCCGUAAUUUAAAUCCCGCUGUGCCUCAGUUUAAAAUAUAAUUUUUCUAUAAAACUAAACGUGUUAAAACAUAAUUUUUUAACCUAGAACAUUUUCUUUGUUCUUAGGGUCUUUCCUGGACCCUGGUUUUUUCUGGACCCUGGUUUUUUCUGGACCCUGGUUCUCCUGGACCCUGGUUUUUUCUGGACCCUGGUUCUCUAAGGCUGUGCCAUCCGGUGGCAGCGUUCUUCUUGGCAGUGUCCGUGAAGUUAAGACUUUUAUGAUAUACCUUUAGUUAAAUAUGGACCCUUUACGCUGAACAGGUAACCUGUAAUCCCUGUGAGCAAUUGCUUACUGCUAAACAUCCCCGGAGGUUGGGGCAUAACUUUUACUGUAGACAGUGUUAUGUUAGUAAGACAAAUUUUGAUAUUGUUGUCCAUAGACACAGAGAUGCCUAUGAUGUAUUUAGUGUAAAUUUCAAGAAAUAGUGGUGUCACUAAGAAGUAUUUAGUAUUACUUAUUUACUAAUAAAUAACUCGUGUUGACCGUAGCGGGUCAUAUAUAUUUAAGGAAUAAAAGGUGUGUAUUAAAUAAAUUUGGGAUUUUCAUUUGGAUAUGUCAUGCGCUUGAUGAGAGUAGUAUCCUGGCGUCCUACCUUAAAUUUUUGGAUACCUAUUUUCACUCCAUAGUGGCCUGAACCGCGACCCUAUCUAUGAUUGUAGUUAGCCGAAGGUAUUUGUGAACUUUUCAGUAGUGAAGUUUGGUGAGUUCUGGAUCACUCCAUAGAAACACGUUUCCUUCUAUGGAAACGGUCUUUAAUAAUAAUAGAAUCAGAUCUUCUCCAUAUCCAGGGCUCACCCACACCUAUUACAGUGGCAUGCCCAACGUAUGGCCUAUGGAGUAUGACAUGUCCAAGUGAAACAUUUUUGCAUUAUUUUAGUAUUAAGGUUAUUUUAUGUAAAAGGGAUUGCAAGUUAUUGUUUUAAAUUGUUGCUUGAGUUGGAGGUUAAACUUAUAAAUUUAACCAACUUAUAAAUAAAACUAUACUACGCUAAAUAAUUAGCCUUACAUAAGAGAAAUUUU